GCAUAACGCAUCAUUGAUUAUUCAUUUUGCCGUUAAGGCGUUUUCUUUGUUUUGUCAUAACAUAACAGACAGAUUAUACUAUACUCACAGCCUGCGCUCCUUCACGUAUACCACAUUUUAUUACUUUAUUCCUUUCAUAAAAUAAUACUAAAAAGGCCUGCCUUUAAAAACUAAUAAAAAGAUACUAAUCUUUAUCAUUAAUAUUUUUACUCUUUUAUUUUUGUCAAAAAAAUAAAUAAAUUAGAUGAGUUGAAUUCAAGAGUUAACCGGGUGUUUUAUGUCAAUGGUGAGAAUUGAAAGUGAUUGGUGUUUGUUUGUUUGGAUCCGUUUAAAAAC
rnacentral:lncRNA from 1 species